rnacentral:rRNA from 1 species
GAGUUUGAUCUUGGCUCAGAUUGAACGCUGGCGGCAGGCCUAACACAUGCAAGUCGAGCGGUAGAGAGAAGCUUGCUUCUCUUGAGAGCGGCGGACGGGUGAGUAAUGCCUAGGAAUCUGCCUGGUAGUGGGGGAUAACGCUCGGAAACGGACGCUAAUACCGCAUACGUCCUACGGGAGAAAGCAGGGGACCUUCGGGCCUUGCGCUAUCAGAUGAGCCUAGGUCGGAUUAGCUAGUUGGUGAGGUAAUGGCUCACCAAGGCGACGAUCCGUAACUGGCCUGAGAGGAUGAUCAGUCACACUGGAACUGAGACACGGUCCAGACUCCUACGGGAGGCAGCAGUGGGGAAUAUUGGACAAUGGGCGAAAGCCUGAUCCAGCCAUGCCGCGUGUGUGAAGAAGGUCUUCGGAUUGUAAAGCACUUUAAGUUGGGAGG